rnacentral:rRNA from 1 species
UACAGAGGUCCCAAGCGUUGUUCGGAUUCAUUGGGCGUAAAGGGUGCGUAGGUGGCGUCGUAAGUCGGGUGUGAAAUCUCGGGGCUUAACUCCGAAACUGCAUUCGAUACUGCGGUGCUUGAGGACUGGAGAGGAGACUGGAAUUUACGGUGUAGCAGUGAAAUGCGUAGAGAUCGUAAGGAAGACCAGUGGCGAAGGCGGGUCUCUGGGCCGAUAUUGACGCUGAGGAGCGAAAGCGUGGGGGAGCGAACAGG